CCAUGUUGCCCAGGCCGGUCUCAAUCUCUUGACCUCGUGAUCUGCCUGCCUCGGCCUCCCAAAGUGCUGGGAUUACAGGCGUGACCCACCGCACCUGACCAGACAUACGCUUUCAUAUCUUUAUUAUGCAGAUUUGUGAAUAUUAUAAACAUUGAAUAGUAUAAUUUGCCAUCACUUAAGUUUUCCAGCUGAUGAUAAACUUUACUUGGUAAGACAAGUUUUUUUGCAUUGGCCUUCAGUAAAAUCUUUCACUUAGUUGAAAACAUUUUUAUAUGGGGAGGGGACGUAACUAAGGCAAUCUAGGUUUGUGAUUUUCUAUUACAAUUUGAUCCAAGAAAAAAUAUCAGUAAGUGUGUCAAUAUUAUCUUGUUUAGAUCAGUGUUUUAAAACUUGUAUGUUCGUAAGAACUGCCUAGGGCCCUUGUUAAAAUACAGAUUCCAAUGCCAGCUGCAGAUUUACUGAAUCAAAGUCUCUAGGCAAGGGGCCUGGGUGUAUAUUUAACAAAGGCACCAAGUGAUUUCUUAUGCUCAAACAGGUUUAAGGAACACUGCUGUAGAUGGUUUUCCUUGACUAUUUUUUUCCUCUCAGCUGGCCUUUGUAGCAGUCAUUUUGAGUAUAAAUUGUGAUAGGAGCCUGAGGCAAUAGCAUUAAAAGUGAGUUGGCAAAGCCCAGCAGAGCCAGUUUAAUUAGCUAGUUUGGAUAACUGUAAUGUCAUUUCCCCUUCUCAAGCUGUGGUGCUUCAGGAUGCUGCCCAUCAAGUUCCUUCCAGGUGUCUUUUCAUCUGUUAUUCCAUUGAUCCUUACACCAUCUCUGUGUGGUAGGCGGAACAAGUAAAAUAAUUGUAUUUCAUUGAUUUUUUUUUUAAGAUGCUCCCCUUUCUCACAAUUGUACAUCCCUAAUAAUAGUAUGCAUCUUAGAAUUGAUUGUCUAAAUAUGAAUAUUUUUUGCUAUUCUAGUGAUUUGUAAAGUAACGGUGCAUCUUACAUCCAAAAGUGUUGAAGAUUUGACGAACUGCCAUGGCUCCUUUCACAGAUGAGUCAUCUGAGAUACUAAGAAGGUGAUGUGACUGGAAAAUUGCUACUAGUUGAGAAAACCCAGCCUCAGAUCCAUCUUUCUGUUCCUGUACUAGUUUUCUGCUGCUGAGUAAUCAAUUACUCCAAAACUGAGUGGCUUAAAACAACAGUAAGCAUUUGUGGUCUCACAGUUUCUUGGAGUCAGGCAUCUAGGAGUGGUGUAGUUGAGUAGUUCUGGUUUGUGGUCUCUUACGAGGUUGCAGGGCUGCAGUCAUCUAAAAUUUGACUGGGGCUAGAGUUUCCACCGGACUCACAUGGCUGGCAAGUUGGUGCUGGUGUUGGGAGGCCUCGGCUCAUCCCCUUGUGGGCCUCUCCACAAGGUUCCUUUGAAGUGCUGCAACAUAGUGACUGGCUUCUACCCAAGCAUGUGAUCCAAGGAAUCAAGGCAAGAAAAGGUUGCAGUGUCUUUAUGACCUAGCUUCCGAAGUGUCAUACUAUCAUGUUUACCUAUUGGAUUUGCCACACAGGCCAGCCCUCAUUCAGUGUUCGAGGGGGCUACACAAGAGUUAUGGGUAUCAGGAGGUGAGGAUCACUGGGUGUCGGCUAUUUCCUUCAGACCACACAGCCUUUUAGACAUGGUUUUGUCCUUAUUAGCUUGGCCAUCUCAUACCCACAGGUCAGUCCUUAAAUUGAAUAAAUGGAAACUCCCUGUGAUUUAUGUUCCUUUCCAGCGCUUCCAGAACUUUAACAUGCCUAUAGAUCCACUGGGUCUUCUGUUAAAACACAGAUUCUGAUUCAUUAGGUCCCAAAUGCAGGCUGAGAUUCUUCAUUCUAGCAAGCAGAUGAUGCCUUUGCUUCUGGGCCAUGAACAACACUUUAAGUGGCAAAAUGAACAGACAGGCAGACUUCCAAUAGCACUUGCACUGCAACCCAAACUCUUCUCCUUCUCAAGAUGUACUUGCCUCUUCCUUUUCUUUUGCAGAGAGAUAACUGGUUUGGGGAGAAAUAACCAGAAAAACAGAGGAGCCUGCCUCGUGAAGUUGGUUAGCAAAAGGGAUGUAUGAAGCAGAUAAGAGCCAUGCAUUAUUAGGCCCCAGAUGAGGAAACGGCUUGCUAGCUCUUGUGAGUCAGCGACACAGGCAUCUCGGGCCCCACUCCUACUGCAGAGGUGCGGUGGAUCCUUGGUCUCCUGUCCCGUUCCAGAGCACACUCCAGAAAAGCAAAAGCCAUAAAGGAUAAAGUGACCUGACCAUGGCCAUGGGGAAAACCACUGGCUCAUCGGGAAUAGGUCAGACUAAGUUUUGGCCUUCAUGCUUCCUCGUGGUCCCCCGGUAGAACUUCCCUGCAGUGGACCUUAUUCUUUACAAUGUGAGUCAUUUGCAUUUGCUCUUACAUCUAUUAGGAGAACUUCUAUGUGGAUAUUCAAAAGGGGUGGGAGGAAUAAAGUUACUUGGUGAGUUCCUGUGCUAUUAAUGAGGUCUCUACCUCCAUGCCUGUUGAGACUGGUAUCUGAGGUGAACUCUUGUUACCUUUUCUGUUGAAUCUUAUUUUGGGGAGAAACCAAUAAUUGAAGUGAAACAGUGUAAGUGACUCUCCAAUGUAUCACAAGUUCUCUUCAACUCAAUUUAGAAAUAUCUCCUAUUAGGAAUGAAAACUUUAAGCAGAUGCCCCAUUCCAACCUCCCACCCCACCCCACCCCACCCCACCCCACCCCACCUUUUUUCUUUUGAACUCUUAUGCUUGUUUGUGGCACACUGAAUUAGCUUCUCAGGGACUUGCUGUGAAUAAUACCUUCCUCACAUUUAGAAAUGCGCUAGGUAUACAUUUGUUUGUUUAGAAUCAGAUCAUGUAUUUCCACGUAAAGACAUUUCAAAUAAUGCUUAGGUUCACAGGUGCCUUUUUUUUUUUUUUUUGAGACGGAGUCUC